AAUAUAAUUAACUAUAAUUAAAUAUAAUUUUUUUGACCUUUUUAAAUAUUGACUAAAAUUAAAAAAUGUAUAACUUUAUUUCACAAACCACUUUAUUUAGUUUCUGUUAAAGCUCCAAUUACAGCUGAUGGAUGUCACACCGGCUGUGGCUGCUCCUCCACAACGCCAGAGCGGUCUUCUUGGAUGCAUUUCUAAAAUCUUUUUCCAUCUGUUUUUGGGCAGUUUAUUUAAUUCUUCUGGUCAGAUCCCUGUUUUGUCAGAUAUUCUAUCAGUUUUGUCAGAUAUUCUAUCAUGUUUCACCACAAAUGUUAAAAUGUGGUUUAUAAGUCUAAGCUUUGGCUGGGCUACUCAACGACAUUCAAGUCUUGCCUCGAAGCCACGUCUGUAUUUGCUUGCACCUCAGAGGUUCAAAGACAUUCAUGUAUAUUGCUGCAUUCAUUCCCCUUUAUUUUUAACAGUCUUCUUGUCCUUUCCACUGAGACGCUCCCCCAUAACAUAAAGCUAACACUACCAUGUUUCACGCUAAAGAUGGGAUUAGCCAUGUGUGGGGCAUUGCCACUUGUACUUGCCGCUGUGUUACCUUGAGAACCAUGCACAUUUACCACUUUGACGAUUGGUUCUUACCACUUUCUGAUUGAACUCUGACCAUAGUUUGCUGCUGAAGUGCUGCCAAUUUGACAAAUUAUUUACUUGAUGUAGACAGAAGCAAAGUCAAGACAUUGCAGGAAGAAAUAAGCAGGAUUCUCACUGUUUUACAACUGUUUAACUGUUUAAUUCAAUCCUAAAUCUACUAUGACAAAAAAAUAUAGCAUAACGACUAGUAAACUGUGAAACAGGGAGACCAGGUUUGCAUUUUAGUGCAUGUCCUAGUACUAGUUUUGCCAUUGUAGCUGUUCAAUAUGAUUGAAUUCAUCCUUAGAUUAAUGAAACAAAGUUUGAUGAACUCUUUUGGAUUGGUUUUUAUUUUCUUAUGUCUCCAAAUGACAACCAUAUCCAAACUUUUAAACUAAAAUACAUUUCUUACACCUCUUAUACCACCUCAGUCUGUGUGUGUCUUGUGUCAGUUGAUACAUGGUUACCAAAUCAAGGUUUUCUGCUCAACUUACAGAAGUCUUGCAGGUUUCAUUGUCAUAUGAACCGAGCAGCAGCCAAGAAGUACCACUUUCUGAUUGAACUCGGCGUGUAUGACUACGUGGUUCGAAUGGAAAUCUGUUUACCCGCCCGAGGUUAAGGAAUGAAGUCAAGACUGCCGUGCCAACAAUGCUGCUCCUGACGGAUGUGACGGGUCCUGGCGUGUUUGCACCAAGAAUUUCAAGAACUUACUCCAGACUUUAUUACAGACUGGACUGAAUAAUAACUCUAUUAUUAUUUAUUUAUUUAUUGCUAGUUAUAACUUUUAGUUCAUUUUAAUUCUGUGUUUGUAUGAUUUGUGUAAAUCCUAUUUAUUUAAAGUAUUCUCAUGGCUACCCAAGAAGGAUGAGUUCUGCUGAGUCUGGUUGUUCGCAAGGUUUCCUCCUGUAAUUUUAAGGGAGUUUCUCCUUGCCACUGUCGCCCUCGGCUUGCUCAACAGGGGUUUUUGUAUCUGUUGGUCCUGGAUUUUGUAAAGUUGCUUUGAGACCAUGUCUAUAUAAAUACAUUUGACUUGACUUGACUUUUAAACUUUUAAAAUACAUUUCUUAUACCUCUUAUACCA